rnacentral:rRNA from 1 species
UAGUCCACACCGUAAACGCUGUCUACUAGCUGUUUGUGAGUUUAACUCGUGAGUAGCGAAGCUAACGCGCUAAGUAGACCGCCUGGGGAGUACGGUCGCAAGAUUAAAACUCAAAUGAAUUGACGGGGGCCCGCACAAGCGGUGGAGCAUGUGGUUUAAUUCGAAGCAACGCGCAGAACCUUACCAACCCUUGACAUCCUGUGACAACUCGAGAGAUCGAGCGUUCCUUAGGGACACAGUGACAGGUGCUGCAUGGCUGUCGUCAGCCCGUGUCGUGAGAUGUUCGGUUAAGUCCGGCAACGAGCGCAACCCACAUCUUUAGUUGCCAGCAGUUCGGCUGGGCACUCUAAAGAAACUGCCCGUGAUAAGCGGGAGGAAGGUGUGGAUGACGUCAAGUCCUCAUGGCCCUUACGGGUUGGGCUACACACGUGCUACAAUGGCAAGUACAGUGGGUUAAUCCCCAAAACUUGUCUCAGUUCGGAUUGGGGUCUGCAACUCGACCCCA